rnacentral:rRNA from 1 species
UGCAGUCGACGGUAACAGGAAGCAGCUUGCUGCUUUGCUGACGAGUGGCGGACGGGUGAGUAAUGUCUGGGAAACUGCCUGAUGGAGGGGGAUAACUACUGGAAACGGUAGCUAAUACCGCAUAACGUCGCAAGACCAAAGAGGGGGACCUUCGGGCCUCUUGCCAUCGGAUGUGCCCAGAUGGGAUUAGCUAGUUGGUGGGGUAACGGCUCACCUAGGCGACGAUCCCUAGCUGGUCUGAGAGGAUGACCAGCCACACUGGAACUGAGACACGGUCCAGACUCCUACGGGAGGCAGCAGUGGGGAAUAUUGCACAAUGGGCGCAAGCCUGAUGCAGCCAUGCCGCGUGUAUGAAGAAGGCCUUCGGGUUGUAAAGUACUUUCAGCGGGGAGGAAGGGAGUAAAGUUAAUACCUUUGCUCAUUGACGUUACCCGCAGAAGAAGCACCGGCUAACUCCGUGCCAGCAGCCGCGGUAAUACGGAGGGUGCAAGCGUUAAUCGGAAUUACUGGGCGUAAAGCGCACGCAGGCGGUUUGUUAAGUCAGAUGUGAAAUCCCCGGGCUCAACCUGGGAACUGCAUCUGAUACUGGCAAGCUUGAGUCUCGUAGAGGGGGGUAGAAUUCCAGGUGUAGCGGUGAAAUGCGUACAGAUCUGGAGGAAUACCGGUGGCGAAGGCGGCCCCCUGGACGAAGACUGACGCUCAGGUGCGAAAGCGUGGGGGAGCAAACAGGAUUAGA